AGGAUGUGGAAGUCAACACUCAUGCUACGGGAUUUCACGAGAUUGUCAUGCAAGAGAGUGGAAACGUUACUCCAUCUCAGGCAAGUGUAGGAUAUCUUGGUACGUGGAGCUAUGACCUUAAUGAAUCUCCAUAUGAUUUGGAACAUGAUUAUAGGAUGGAAUGAUGCAUUUGAGAUACAAGACAUGAUAUGAAACAAAUGAAGGAUGUGAAACAAAUGACUAGCGUCCACUUUUGUGAAAUAUCAUGUUGCUACUUUUGCAUCAUUUUGGUGUUGAAAUUGUAGUUUUUUGGUUUUGUAAUUGCUGUAUUUUGUUGGUGGAAUGCAGUUUUUUGGUGUGGUAUAUGCCCCAAGCUUUGCUUCAUUGAAGCAUGGGCUAAUGCUGUAGAUGAAUCCGCUUUUGAUGUUGCUACUUUUUUGGCAAAAGCGUGAGGAGAUGGCAGAAGCAUGAGUGGAAAGUUAUCAGUCAAAUUUAGUGUCAAAACUCGAGUGCAUGAUUUCCAAUUAUGUAAAUUCGUUCAUAUCAAUGUAUUUUGAUUUCUCCAAAUUCGUUCAUUGUGUAAAUUUG